rnacentral:tRNA from 1 species
CGGGGGGUGGUGGAAGAAUCACAGGCAGUUGUCACUUGCCAAUUGGUGCGUUGAGUGCCCCUUCCGU